rnacentral:rRNA from 1 species
UACGUAGGGGGCUAGCGUUGUCCGGAAUCAUUGGGCGUAAAGCGCGUGUAGGCGGUCCGGUAAGUCCGCUGUGAAAGUCGGGGGCUCAACCCUCGGAUGCCGGUGGAUACUGUCGGGCUUGAGUACGGAAGAGGCGAGUGGAAUUCCUGGUGUAGCGGUGAAAUGCGCAGAUAUCAGGAGGAACACCGGUGGCGAAGGCGGGUCUCUGGGCCGAAACUGACGCUGAGGAGCGAAAGCGUGGGGAGCAAACAGG